GGACGAAAGUCUGACGGAGCAACGCCGCGUGAGUGAUGAAGGUUUUCGGAUCGUAAAACUCUGUUGUUAGGGAAGAACAAGUACCGUUCGAAUAGGGCGGUACCUUGACGGUACCUAACCAGAAAGCCACGGCUAACUACGUGCCAGCAGCCGCGGUAAUACGUAGGUGGCAAGCGUUGUCCGGAAUCAUUGGGCGUAAAGCGCGCGCAGGUGGUUCCUUAAGUCUGAUGUGAAAGCCCCCGGCUCAACCGGGGAGGGUCAUUGGAAACUGGGGAACUUGAGUGCAGAAGAGGAAAGUGGAAUUCCACGUGUAGCGGUGAAAUGCGUAGAGAUGUGGAGGAACACCAGUGGCGAAGGCGACUUUCUGGUCUGUAACUGACACUGAGGCGCGAAAGCGUGGGGAGCGAACAGGAUUAGAUACCCUGGUAGUCCACGCCGUAAACGAUGAGUGCUAAGUGUUAGGGGGUUUCCGCCCCUUAGUGCUGCAGCAAACGCAUUAAGCACUCCGCCUGGGGAGUACG
rnacentral:rRNA from 1 species